UACGAAGGGGCUAGCGUUGCUCGGAAUCACUGGGCGUAAAGCGCACGUAGGCGGAUUGCUAAGUCAGGGGUGAAAUCCUGGAGCUCAACUCCAGAACUGCCUUUGAUACUGGCGAUCUCGAGUCCGGGAGAGGUGAGUGGAACUGCGAGUGUAGAGGUGAAAUCGUAGAUAUUCGCAAGAACACCAGUGGCGAAGGCGGCUCACUGGCCCGGUACUGACGCUGAGGUGCGAAAGCGUGGGGAGCAAACAGGAUAGAUACC
rnacentral:rRNA from 1 species